AGCAAAUUUAAAUAAAAUUAGAAUGAAAAUAUUCUCAGUUCAAUAAAGAAGAUAAAAAAUUUGGAGGGUUAGUUUAGGAGAAUAAGGUCAUGUCUGAUGACAGCGAGGCAAUACUCAUUGAAAGCGAUGAAUUAAAGGAAGACUAGAUAUGUGAAGAAGACACUGCCGAUGAAAAGAAAAAUUAAUUUAAUUAUGAUGCUAAUAGUGUGAACACCAAAUUGUUGUCUCCUCUCUUUAUCGAGUAGAAUGAAAUAUUUCUCACUAGAUGACGGUGUCUAUCUAUCUAGAGGUAACAAUGUUAUAUAGCUCAUCAUCAUUUGGUCUUACAAACCAAAUAAAAAAACUGAAUAUUGUAUUUUUAAAUUAACGUAAAUUUAAACCACCUAGCCUGAGUGGGUCCCCAAUGCGUGCAACAAAUGUUGGACUAGUAUUGUAUACUCCCAUAGCCUGUCUUAUCGUUAAUACUUAUGUUUGUAAAUGAGUGUAUUAUGUUUUUGAGGAGGUGUGUUGAAAACAAGCUAAGUAAUUUGAAUUUGCCGGUUCGAUAAAACAUCGAUAAAUAUGUAAAUCUUUAGCUAUCCAAAAUAAAGACGUUGAAAUAGCUUGUUGCAAAAACGCUAUAAACAGGUAUCGAUACAUAUAUAUCGGAUAUAUACGAUUUUUUCUCAACUGACGCUUCGGAAAGACAACAAGGCUACGCAUAUCGAAAAAAUAAAGAGAAUAUAAAACAAAUUGAAAAUUAAAUUAGCUCCUGUGUUAUUAUUAAAAUAUUGUGGUUAAUCGUAUUAUUAACGUAAUUUAAAUAUAAAUUGCGUUAUCUAUAACUGCGUGCUGUUGUUGUUUGCUGCCCACCGGAGCAAUAGUAUAAAGAAGAUAUACUUGUAACUUUUGAUGAAUACAUAUAUUGAUAAUUGAUAUAUUGGAUGUCUAAUAUACUUGAUACUAUUGAUAUUUUACAUGUGAUGUGAUUGACGACAACUCGAUAUAGUAAUAUUCAAUCAGCUGUUUCGUUGUGAAAUAGAAAGACUUCGAAAUAAAUCAAAAAAUUCGGUUUGCAGAGCACCUUAAUUGAAAUCAUUUGGUAAAAACGAAAUCAUAUUACUUCCAUUUGGUUUCUGGAACAUGCCUCAAAAACUAUUGAUAGCAAAUAAGUGACCAACUCUAUUCCACAAUCUUUAAAUAUAUGCUUCGAUAUCGAAUCCAGCAAGUCACGGCAAUAAUUAGCUUGGAAAUCAUUGUACAAACCUACAAGUAACCAAUCCUAAAUAUAUACAUACAUAUCUCUUGUAUCAAAACUUUAUUAAUAUCAAAUCAAAAUAAACAAAUCGAGGUAAACUUGGUAAUAGAUGAAGGCAGCUUCUACAUGUUUUCGUAUAUAUUUGCGGUUACUUGUAUUAUAAAUUAAUAUAAUAUAAAUAUAUAUAUAUAAUAAAGAAAAUCAAUAGACUUGCAGUGUGGCGAACACGAAUGCCAAGACAAAAUAGAAUCGAUGAUAAAUAGCUAAAAUCAACCAGCCAGCAAAAUAGCGUAGUUGCCAGGAUGUUCGAGUGGCGACGUUUUCGUAACUAUAUAAGGGCUGCCGGAUCGUGCAGCAGAGACAGUUCUAAUUAAAGUGCAGCUUAGUAAAAGUAAACUCGAAUAACAAGUAAUAAGAUUUCAGUGGUUUAAAUUAGAAAUAAAGGAAGAGACAACGAAGACAGAAUGCUCAUCAAACUCUAUGGACAUAAACAUGAUUUUGGCUGCAAUGUCGCAGAUGACAACGCUAAUGUCAACGCAAAUAUCGACACAGUUUAAAGAGCAGGAUAUAGUAUGUCGCAGAUGGCCUUACAAAUAGCAGAGUAUUAUCACAAAGGGUAGGAUGCACGGAUAUCACAGGUAACCUCACAAAUAGCCGAAGUCCAUGUAAGGACAAUGUUUCAAAUGAGCAGGAUAAAAUUAAAAUUGGAGUGGAUGAAUUGAAAAAUCGUCUCUGCGAGAUACAAUUAUAUCAGCAAAUUAUGUCAACAGCCUCUGGCAAGGUAUUUUUAAGCUUUAAUUCGAAAAGAUGGUAUCUGCAAAUAAUUGGAACGUCGGACAAAGUAGUUGCAUUUGGAGAUGAAAAACUACCGUUCGAUGUUUUGAUAGUUUUUCUCUUGAAAUCUACUUACUUUUCGCUGGUUUAAUAAAAAAAAAGACCGUAGCUUUGUACACUUCAUUUUUAUGAAAUAAUUUUUUAAUUUAUUUAUAAAACAAAACAUGAACAGUAAACAAAAAAAAAACAAAAAAGUUAGUUACGUAUAAAAAUAGUAUAUAAAUUUCCAUGUUACUAUAUUAACUGCUCUGAGAGCUGACAAGUUAUAAAAAGGUACAUUUUUUAUACAUUUACUAAUGUUUCGGUAGAGUACUUUGUUCCUCAAUAAUAUACAUGUUUUUUUUAUAAUAGUAAUUAGUUGACGUUUUCAGCCUUUAGUUUCUUCUAUCUGAUAUCCUAUCUGGAUCGCUACAGCCUGGUUAAACACUCUCUCGGACUCUGUAUAUCGUCUACCAAUAGGGAUGAUGUGGUUUUUACACUCGUGGCGGACAUUUUUGUUUACGGAUUUGUGUCAAAUUUCGCCAGUGUAUUCAGAAAGAUCAAGCCCAUUUCUGGUUUAAUGGUCGUCAACAAACAAAAUUGUCACUAUUGGGGUGAUUCCAUUCCAUUCAAUGCUCGAGGAGUUCGAAAACAACCUUCAAAGCACUAUAGCGGAAAUGCUGCACCGAUUUGGCCGACAUUUUGUUUACUUCAUAAAUGGAUGAAAUUAUCAGUAUGACAAAAAAAACAGAACCCAUUUUGACCGAAUUGAGUGCUUUAUUUCAUUUUAAAAUCACGUCGUUCUUAUUGAUAGAGCUGAUAUAUUUCACUUGUGAUUUACAUGGCAAUGAAUAUAUUUUUCCUCAAGAUAAUGCCCCAACCUACGUGGCAAAGACGACAAAGGAGUUCUAUAACUCCCGACAGACUGAGUUACUUCAGUGGCCUGCGUUAAGCCCAGAUCUCAAUCCCAUCGAGGAUCUAUGGGGAACUCUUUCCCCCAAAAUAUUUGCAUAAUCGAAGCAAUACGACAGCCUUUGGCAGCUUAAAAAGACCUUAGAAGAUAAAUGGGACAAAACUGAUUUGUCUGUCCUUAAAAAAACUGGUGGAAUCAAUGCCCCAACGUAUGCAGUUUGUAAAGAUAACUGAGCCCUAUCUCGCAUUUACUUUUAUAAAACUUUUAUUUCACAAAACAAAUAAUAUGUAUAUUAAAUAGACUUUUUGAACAUAUAAACAUUUUACAAGGGCUAUUAAAGUACAAAUGUUUUCAAUAUAAUACUGUGUUAAGAAAUAAUAAUGAUAUAAAAACACUAACCAAAACUAAAACGUUGUAAAGUUU